GCGGACGGGUGAGUAACGCGUGGGUAACCUGCCUUGUACAGGGGGAUAACAGUUGGAAACGGCUGCUAAUACCGCAUAAGCGCACAGCAUCGCAUGAUGCAGUGUGAAAAACUCCGGUGGUAUAAGAUGGACCCGCGUUGGAUUAGCUAGUUGGUGAGGUAACGGCCCACCAAGGCGACGAUCCAUAGCCGACCUGAGAGGGUGACCGGCCACAUUGGGACUGAGACACGGCCCAAACUCCUACGGGAGACAGCAGUGGGGAAUAUUGCACAAUGGGCGAAAGCCUGAUGCAGCGACGCCGCGUGAGCGAAGAAGUAUUUCGGUAUGUAAAGCUCUAUCAGCAGGGAAGAUAAUGACGGUACCUGACUAAGAAGCACCGGCUAAAUACGUGCCAGCAGCCGCGGUAAUACGUAUGGUGCAAGCGUUAUCCGGAUUUACUGGGUGUAAAGGGAGCGUAGACGGAGUGGCAAGUCUGAUGUGAAAACCCGGGGCUCAACCCCGGGACUGCAUUGGAAACUGUCAAUCUGGAGUACCGGAGAGGUAAGCGGAAUUCCUAGUGUAGCGGUGAAAUGCGUAGAUAUUAGGAGGAACACCAGUGGCGAAGGCGGCUUACUGGACGGUAACUGACGUUGAGGCUCGAAAGCGUGGGGA
rnacentral:rRNA from 1 species